rnacentral:rRNA from 1 species
GAUGAACGCUGGCGGCGUGCCUAAUACAUGCAAGUCGAGCGAACAGACGAGGCGCUUGCUCCUCUGACGUUAGCCGCGGACGGGUGAGUAACGCGUGUAUAACCUACCUAUAAUACUGGUAUAACUUCGGAAAACCGGCGCUAAUCCCGUAUAAUAUAUUGAACCGCAUGGUUCAAUAGUAAAAGACGGUUUUUCUGUCACUUCUAGAUGGAUCCGCGCGGCAUUAGCUAGUUGGUACGUUAACGGGCUACGAAGGGAACGAGGCGUAGCCGACCGGAGAGGCGGAUAGCCGGCACUGGAGCGGGAACGCGCACAAGAGUCCUACGGGACGGAGCAGUAGGGAAUCUGCGGCAGUGGGCGGAUGCCUGACGGAGCAAGGCCGCGUGAGUGAUGACGGUCUCGGGAUCGUAAAACUCGGUUAUUAGUGAAGAACAACUGUGGAAGGAAAUAUGCACGUAUUGACGGUACUGAGUAAGAAAGCAACGGCUAACUACGUG